AGAAAGGCAGGCUGAGUUCAUCAGUUUCCCUGCUGUCACCACUACCACCUGUGAGGCAUCGUGGUACAAAUGGAAGAGUACUUUUCGGUCAUGAGCUAAAAUCAGACAUCAUAGUUCUAGGAGCGAAGAUGUCAAGUAACAUGGCAAUAGCACCUUAUUGACACAGCAUUUCUUCCCUUCUUCCCUCCCAUCAUGUGAGGAUAUCAUGUACAGGACAUCAUCUUGGAAGCAGAGAUGGGGCAGUCACCAAACCA